AUUGAACGCUGGCGGCAUGCCUUACACAUGCAAGUCGAACGGUAACAGGUCUUCGGAUGCUGACGAGUGGCGAACGGGUGAGUAAUACAUCGAAACGUGCCCGAUCGUGGGGGAUAACGGAGCGAAAGCUUUGCUAAUACCGCAUACGAUCUACGGAUGAAAGCAGGGGACCGCAAGGCCUUGCGCGGACGGAGCGGCCGAUGGCAGAUUAGGUAGUUGGUGGGAUAAAAGCUUACCAAGCCGACGAUCUGUAGCUGGUCUGAGAGGACGACCAGCCACACUGGGACUGAGACACGGCCCAGACUCCUACGGGAGGCAGCAGUGGGGAAUUUUGGACAAUGGGCGAAAGCCUGAUCCAGCCAUGCCGCGUGCAGGAUGAAGGCCUUCGGGUUGUAAACUGCUUUUGUACGGAACGAAAAGACUCUUUCUAAUAAAGAGGGUCCAUGACGGUACCGUAAGAAUAAGCACCGGCUAACUACGUG
rnacentral:rRNA from 1 species